rnacentral:lncRNA from 1 species
CGAGCAUCAUUAGCGGGCAAAGCCACCGCUUCUACCCACUUUGACACGUAAUCAAUCGCUACCAAUAUGUAUUGAUUUGAGAAUGGAGGAAAAGGUCCGAUAAAAUCAAUACCCCAUACAUCAAAAAUUUCCACCUCUAAUAUAGAAUUCAAAGACAUUUCAUUUUGGUUGGAAUUAUUACCACUGUGUUGGCAUUUGUCGCACUUGAAGACAAGAGUGUGAGCAUCUUUGAAUAAUGUGGGCCAAUAAAAACUGGAUUGAAGUACCUUUGAUGCGGUUUUCACGACCCCGAAGUGACCACCAUAGGGUGAGGAAUGACAUUGUUUAAGGAUUUGCUCCAUUUCAUCUUCCAGCGCACAUCUCCGAAUAAUUUGAUCCGAGCCCCGUUUGAACAACAAAGGGUCAUCCCAAUAAUGCUUGAUGUCGGCAAAGAACUUUUUCCUUUGUUGGUAAGAGAGAUCCGGGGGAAUGAUGCCACUAGCAAGAAAGUUCACAUGGUCCACAUACCAUGGUAUAUGGAUGGCUUGUAGAAGAUGCAUAAUUUGCAAGAGUUGUUCAUCGAGAAAUACCUCAUUUAUCUCCCCAUCUACCACCUCUUUGAUUUGCUCAAGUCGAGACAGAUGAUCGGUAACAAUAUUUUCGGUCCCUUUUUUAUCGUGAAUUUUCAAGUCAAAUUCUUGUAGAAGAAGGAUCCAUCUAAUUAAUCGAGGCUAGGCAUCUUUCUUUGCUAGCAAAUACGUGAGGGCUGAGUGGUUCGUGCAAACAAUCACUUUCGAUCCAAUGAGGUAAGAUCGAAAUUUAUCAAAUGCAAAUACCACUACGAG